rnacentral:rRNA from 1 species
ACGAACGCUGGCGGCGUGCUUAACACAUGCAAGUCGAGCGAUGAAGUUUCUUCGGAAAUGGAUUAGCGGCGAACGGGUGAGGAACACGUGAAGAACCUGCCCUCCACUUUGGGAUAACACAGGGAAACCUGUGCUAAUACCGAAUAUUGAAACAUAAGUGGCAUCACUGAGUUUUGAAAGAAUUUCGGUGGAGGAUGACUUCGCGGCCUAUCAGCUAGUUGGUGAGGUAAUGGCUCACCAAGGCAACGACGGGUAGCCGGCCUGAGAGGGCGACCGGCCACACUGGGACUGAGACACGGCCCAGACUCCUACGGGAGGCAGCAGUGGGGAAUAUUGGGCAAUGGAGGAAACUCUGACCCAGCGACGCCGCGUGCGGGAUGAAGGCCUUCGGGUUGUAAACCGCUUUCAGUAGGGAAGAAGCGAAAGUGACGGUACCUACAAAAGAAGCACCGGCUAACUAUGUGCCAGCAGCCGCGGUAAUACAUAGGGUGCAAGCGUUGUCCGGAAUUAUUGGGCGUAAAGAGCUCGUAGGUUGUUUGUUACGUCGGAUGUGAAAACCUGAGGCUCAACCUCAGGCCUGCAUUCGAUACGGGCAAACUAGAGUUUGGUAGGGGAGACUGGAAUUCCUGGUGUAGCGGUGGAAUGCGCAGAUAUCAGGAGGAACACCAAUGGCGAAGGCAGGUCUCUGGGCCAAUACUGACACUGAGGAGCGAAAGUCUGGGGAGCGAACAGGAUUAGAUACCCUGGUAGUCCAGACCGUAAACGGUGGGCACUAGUUGUGGGGACCUUCCACGGUCUCUGCGACGCAGCUAACGCAUUAAGUGCCCCGCCUGGGGAGUACGAUCGCAAGAUUAA